rnacentral:rRNA from 1 species
AUUGAACGCUGGCGGCAGGCCUAACACAUGCAAGUCGAGCGGAUGAAGGGAGCUUGCUCCUGGAUUCAGCGGCGGACGGGUGAGUAAUGCCUAGGAAUCUGCCUGGUAGUGGGGGAUAACGUCCGGAAACGGGCGCUAAUACCGCAUACGUCCUGAGGGAGAAAGUGGGGGAUCUUCGGACCUCACGCUAUCAGAUGAGCCUAGGUCGGAUUAGCUAGUUGGUGGGGUAAGGGCCUACCAAGGCGACGAUCCGUAACUGGUCUGAGAGGAUGAUCAGUCACCCGGGAACUGAGACACGGUCCCGACUCCGGGGGGGAGCAGCAGUGGGGAAUAUUAGGCGAGGGGCCAAAGGCUGAUACAGGCAUGCCGCGGGUGUGAAGAAGGUCCUCGGAUUGGUAAGCACUGUAAGUUGGGGGGAAGGGCAGUAAGUUUAUACCUUGCUGUUUUGACGGUACCAACAGAAUAAGCUCCGGCUAACUUCGUG